AUGAGUCCACCCUUUCACUGGGUGUGGCCUUGCUCCAUAAAGGAUCCUGCGGCACCCUGAUGAGGCAUUCUCACUCUUCUCAUCAGGGCGUCUAGUUCGGACCGCAGCAGGCUCCUGAAUCACUGCAACCAUGCCCCGAGUCCAUAUUGAGAUGUCUCAAGGAUGAGGCUAUCCAAACUACUACUACCAAAUAGCCUCAUAUGUAGGCAACCUCCCCGGCGUGCAGCUGACAUGUGCUUACGGGAGACCAAACAGCUUCGAGGUGUCGGUGGAUGGUAGAGUGAUCCACUCCAAGCUGCAGAGUGGAGCCUUCCCCCAUCCGCAGACGGUGGUGAAUGCAGUAAUGCAACAACCGCAGGCGGCCGUGCCAGCCAGGGGAGGAUGACGGUAGUUCUCCUCACCGUCCUGAGACUGUGAGGAGAAGAGCAGCUGUAUUCACACUGAAGGACAAGCGCGGUGGCUCUUCAAGAUGUUCAUUUUAAUACAAUUUAAUACAAACAUGAAGUCAAAAUUCGACCCUAAAACUCACUGGAUGCCAAACCGACCGCAUGUCUUCACUGUGAAUACACUCCCAGAGCGGAGGUGGAUGGAGUCGACACUGAUCUGCACUUCUGUUAAUGACUGUUCACACUAAAAACGCUCGUGGUGUGCGCACGAUGAAUCCAGAAGCUCCAGCUGAUCUGAACGUCUGCUCUCAUUGCCUCCGUCUGGCAACUGAAGAGACGUUAGGAGACCACAAACUAACAACCUACAUAUCAGCAAUAUGUCAUACCGGCUUUACUUUUGAAUCUGCACAAUGGCUGGGUGUUAAUUAAAGUGAUCGGAAGCUGUAAGUGUAUACUACACUACGACACCACAGUAAAGUACAACCUCAUAAAUAAAUAAACUCAAAGCUCAUCCAAGAGCUGAAGGAACUUUUAAUGAUCGAUCACAUUAAAUUCUUCGUAUUUAACUUUGUGUAAGAGCCACUGGCUUGCCUGGAUCGUGACCUGGGUGAGGCUCUGCAGUCGAAACCAAAGUAGAAUGUGAAUGCCAGGUAUUUUUUCUUCGACUCUGUUGGAGCAUGUUUGACAUUUAAAAACAUCUGUCUGUGAUCAUCACCCAGCUGUGCAAUCAUUCAUUACAAUUUUACAAACAAGUACAAUAAACAAUCAACUGAAUCUC